rnacentral:rRNA from 1 species
UACAGAGGUCUCAAGCGUUGUUCGGAUUCAUUGGGCGUAAAGGGUGCGUAGGUGGCCAGGUAAGUUCGGUGUGAAAGCUCGGAGCUUAACUCCGAAAUGUCAUUGAAUACUAUCUGGCUGGAGGGUCGGAGGGGAGACUGGAAUUCUCGGUGUAGCAGUGAAAUGCGUAGAUAUCGAGAGGAACACCAGUGGCGAAGGCGAGUCUCUGGACGACUCCUGACACUGAGGCACGAAAGCCAGGGGAGCAAACAGG